UACGGAGGGUGCGAGCGUUGUCCGGAAUCACUGGGCGUAAAGGGCGCGUAGGCGGCUUCUUAAGCGUGUGGUGAAAGCUCAGGGCUCAACUCUGAGUCGGCCAUGCGAACUGGGAGGCUUGAGCACUGUAGAGGCAGGUGGAAUUCCGGGUGUAGCGGUGGAAUGCGUAGAGAUCCGGAAGAACACCGGUGGCGAAGGCGGCCUGCUGGGCAGUAGCUGACGCUGAGGCGCGACAGCGGUGGGGAGCAAACAGG
rnacentral:rRNA from 1 species